rnacentral:rRNA from 1 species
CGUCACAUCCUGGGGCUGGAGAAGGUCCCAAGGGUUCGGCUGUUCGCCGAUUAAAGUGGCACGCGAGCUGGGUUCAGAACGUCGUGAGACAGUUCGGUCCCUAUCUGUUGUGGGCGCAGGAGAUUUGAGAGAACCUGAUACUAGUACGAGAGGACCGUGUUGGACAGACCUCUAGUGUACCUGUUGUGGCGCCAGCUGCAUCGCAGGGUAGCUAUGUCUGGAAGAGAUAAGCACUGAAAGCAUCUAAGUGCGAAGCUCGUCUCAAGAUGAGAUCUCCCUUAAGGGUC